GAUGAACGCUGGCGGCGUGCUUAACACAUGCAAGUCGAGCGAUGAAGUUUCCUUCGGGAAACGGAUUAGCGGCGGACGGGUGAGUAACACGUGGGUAACCUGCCUCAUAGAGUGGAAUAGCCUUUCGAAAGGAAGAUUAAUACCGCAUAAUGUUGAAAGAUGGCAUCAUCAUUCAACCAAAGGAGUAAUCCGCUAUGAGAUGGACCCGCGGCGCAUUAGCUAGUUGGUGGGAUAACGGCCUACCAAGGCGACGAUGCGUAGCCGACCUGAGAGGGUGAUCGGCCACAUUGGGACUGAGACACGGCCCAGACUCCUACGGGAGGCAGCAGUGGGGAAUAUUGCACAAUGGGGGAAACCCUGAUGCAGCAACGCCGCGUGAGUGAUGAAGGUUUUCGGAUCGUAAAGCUCUGUCUUUGGGGAAGAUAAUGACGGUACCCAAGGAGGAAGCCACGGCUAACUACGUGCCAGCCGCCGCAGUAAAAC
rnacentral:rRNA from 1 species